UACGGAGGGUGCGAGCGUUGUCCGGAAUCACUGGGCGUAAAGGGUGCGUAGGCGGCUGGGUAAGUCGCGUGUGAAAGCCCGGGGCUCAACCCCGGAGCUGCAUGCGAGACUGCCUGGCUCGAGCGCGGUAGAGGCGGGCGGAAUUCCUGGUGUAGCGGUGGAAUGCGUAGAGAUCAGGAAGAACACCGGUGGCGAAGGCGGCUCGCUGGGCCGUUGCUGACGCUGAGGCACGAAAGCGUGGGGAG
rnacentral:rRNA from 1 species